rnacentral:rRNA from 1 species
ACGGAAGGCAGCAGUGGGGAAUAUUGCACAAUGGGCGAAAGCCUGAUGCAGCGACGCCGCGUGAGUGAAGAAGUAUCUCGGUAUGUAAAGCUCUAUCAGCAGGGAAGAAAACGACGGUACCUGACUAAGAAGCCCCGGCUAACUACGUGCCAGCAGCCGCGGUAAUACGUAGGGGGCAAGCGUUAUCCGGAUUUACUGGGUGUAAAGGGAGCGUAGACGGUUUGGCAAGUCUGAAGUGAAAUGCGGGGGCUCAACUCCUGAACUGCUUUGGAAACUGUCGAACUAGAGUGCAGGAGAGGUAAGUGGAAUUCCUAGUGUAGCGGUGAAAUGCGUAGAUAUUAGGAGGAACACCAGUGGCGAAGGCGGCUUACUGGACUGUAACUGACGUUGAGGCUCGAAAGCGUGGGGAGCAAACAGGAUUAGAUACCCUGGUA